AGCCCCUUAGUACAGUGGUCAAGUAUCAUCGGUUCUGGGCCGAUGGACCCAGGUUCGAAUCCUGGAGGGGCUA
rnacentral:tRNA from 1 species